GAUGAACGCUGGCGGCGUGCCUAAUACAUGCAAGUCGAGCGAACAGACGAGGAGCUUGCUCCUCUGACGUUAGCGGCGGACGGGUGAGUAACACGUGGAUAACCUACCUAUAAGACUGGGAUAACUUCGGGAAACCGGAGCUAAUACCGGAUAAUAUAUUGAACCGCAUGGUUCAAUAGUGAAAGACGGUUUUGCUGUCACUUAUAGAUGGAUCCGCGCCGCAUUAGCUAGUUGGUAAGGUAACGGCUUACCAAGGCAACGAUGCGUAGCCGACCUGAGCGGGGGAGCGGCGAGAGGGGAAAUGGGAAAAGGGCGAGACUGCUACGGGAGGCAGUAGUAGGGAAUCGUCCGCAAGGGGCGAAAGCUUGACGGAGCAACGCCGCGUGAGGGAUGAAGGUCUGCGGAUUGUAAAACUCUGUUAUGAGGGAAGAACAAAUGUGUAAGUAACUAUGCACGUCUUGACGGGACCUAAUAAGAAAGCCACGGCUAAAUACG
rnacentral:rRNA from 1 species